rnacentral:sRNA from 16 species
GUCAAGCACCCCGGCCUGCAGGCCGGAGCGUGUGAAGCGAUUCACUCGCUCGAGUUUGACCAGACCGAGCGCCUUCGGGCGCUACGUUGUGCAGAAGACAGCAGACCCACCGCCGAAUGCUUCCUCAGUUCGGCGCACUGGA